rnacentral:lncRNA from 1 species
UUUAAUUUCUGGUAUUAUUUGAGGUGAUAUUCGGUAAGAAAUUAAUUGCUUAUUUUGUGCUACUUGAUCAUUGCGUAUAGUUGAGUCUUUAAUUGUUAAAUUGAUUAUUCUUGCAUUGAUCAUAGACCUCUAUAUUGUAUUGAUUUUUCUAUUGUUAGACUAAGUGUAGUCUAAAGGUUUUAAUCCUGAUGGAUUAGAAGAGUAGUUUACAAACAGGUUCAAGGAAGCAAAG